rnacentral:rRNA from 1 species
GACGAACGCUGGCGGCGUGCCUAAUACAUGCAAGUAGAACGCACAGUUUAUACCGUAGCUUGCUACACCAUAGACUGUGAGUUGCGAACGGGUGAGUAACGCGUAGGUAACCUGCCUGGUAGCGGGGGAUAACUAUUGGAAACGAUAGCUAAUACCGCAUAAUAUUGAUUAUUGCAUGAUAAUUGAUUGAAAGAUGCUAUUGCAUCACUACCAGAUGGACCUGCGUUGUAUUAGCUAGUAGGUGAGGUAACGGCUCACCUAGGCGACGAUACAUAGCCGACCUGAGAGGGUGAUCGGCCACACUGGGACUGAGAAACGGCCCAGACUCCUACGGGAGGCAGCAGUAGGGAAUCUUCGGCAAUGGACGAAAGUCUGACCGAGCAACGCCGCGGGAGUGAAGAAGGUUUUCGGAUCGUAAAGCUCUGUUGUAAGAGAAGAACGGGUGUGAGAGUGGAAAGUUCACACUGUGACGGUAGCUGACCAGAAAGGGACGGCUAACUACGUG